rnacentral:rRNA from 1 species
UCGGUCUGGGAUGGACUCGCGGCCUAUCAGCUUGUUGGUGAGGUAAUGGCUCACCAAGGCGACGACGGGUAGCCGGCCUGAGAGGGCGACCGGCCACACUGGGACUGAGACACGGCCCAG